rnacentral:ncRNA from 1 species
CUUAUGAUGGAUACAUAGACACCAAGAGACGAGGAAGGGUGUAGUAAGCGAUGAAAUGCUUCAGGGAGUUAAAAAUAAGCGUAAAUCUGGAUAUUUCUGAUAUAGGUCAAUCUUUCAAACUGUUGCUGAAUCUACGGGUAGGCAAGAGACAACCUGGUGAACUGAAACAUCUUAGUAGGCAGAGGAAAAGAAAGCAAAAGUGAUUCCCGUAGUAGCGACGAGCGAAAUAGGAGCAACCUAAACUAUGAAAAUGGGGUUGUGGGAGAGCUAUACAAGUGUCGUGCUGCUAGGCGAAACAAUAUAGAAUGCUGCAUCCUAAAAGGCGAAAGUCCGGUAGCAGAAAGCAUCACUAGCUUACACUCUGACCAGAGUAGCAUGGGGCAUGUGGAAUCCUGUGUGAAUCAACAAGGACCACCUUGCAAGGCUAAAUACUCCUAGGUGACUGAUAGUGAAGUAGUACCGUGAGGGAAGGGUGAAAAGAACCCCAUCGGGAGUGAAAUAGAACAUGAAACCGUAAG